UGGAUGAUGUGGUUUAAUUCGAUGCAACGCGAAAACCUUACCACCUUUGACAUGGCAGGAAUCCCGAAGAGAUUGGGAGUGCUCGAAAGAGAACCUGCACACAGGUGCUGCAUGGCUGUCGUCAGCUCGUGUCGUGAGAUGUUGGGUUAAGUCCCGCAACGAGCGCAACCCUUGCCAUUAGUUGCUACGAAAGGGCACUCUAAUGGGACUGCCGGUGACAAACCGGAGGAAGGUGGGGAUGACGUCAAGUCCUCAUGGCCCUUAUAGGUGGGGCUACACACGUCAUACAAUGGCCGGUACAGAGGGUAGCCAACCCGCGAGGGGGAGCCAAUCCCACAAAGCCGGUCGUAGUCCGGAUUGUUCUCUGCAACUCGAGAGCAUGAAGUCGGAAUCGCUAGUAAUCGCAGGUCAGCAUACUGCGGUGAAUACGUUCCCGGGUCUU
rnacentral:rRNA from 1 species